rnacentral:rRNA from 1 species
UACAGAGGUCCCAAGCGUUGUUCGGAUUCACUGGGCGUAAAGGGUGCGUAGGCGGUCGGGUAAGUCUGACGUGAAAUCUUCAAGCUCAACUUGGAAACUGCGUCGGAUACUAUUCGGCUAGAGGAAUGGAGGGGAGACUGGAAUACUUGGUGUAGCAGUGAAAUGCGUAGAUAUCAAGAGGAACACCAGUGGCGAAGGCGAGUCUCUGGACAUUUCCUGACGCUGAGGCACGAAAGCCAGGGGAGCAAACGGG